AUUAAACUGGUAAGCAAAUUCUUCUUGACAAAUCUGGAAUUUAUUGUACAGAUUAGUUUCAAAAUUGAUUCAGUACCAUUUAAAAAGAAGUAAAAAGGAGCGAUUGACAAAGACCAUAUACAAGAAAUUAUUAACUUGCGUGUGAUGGCUUCUCCUUUGGACGAUAUGACAGAUCAACCGAAAGAGGAUGAUGAACAUUCGUUAGAAAAUUAUACGACAGAACCCGAAAGUCAUAUUUCACAGAAAGGAUAUGAUGUAUUAUCAAGUGAUAUAGCAGAAAACAAUAAACUUCUACCACAAACUGAACCGGACAAAGAAGCAGAAGUUGAAAAACAUACAAGCUUUCUCUGGAAAUACAUGAAUAACCAUGCAACCCAUGAUCGAAGUAAUGAACCACAACCAGAAAAUAAUUCAGAGUCAGAUAUUUGUAGCAAACCUUUGCGGAUUGUUAAUAGGAGCGAAGCCAGUUCUGUUACUGUUCAAAAGAACUUGGAACCUGAAAAAACACGACCUUAUAUGAAAUACUUUAUUUGGUCAAUCAUCUGUGUCUUUGUAGUAGUGGUAUUGGUAAUAGCAACGGUCUUUAUAACAAUUUUAAUUUAUAAAGAGUGUUGUCAGGAAACGCACUUAGCGGAAGGUACUCGGGAAGGACCAGUUUGCCAAGACCUAAAUAUUGUUUUAUCAUUUUGGAACGACAAAUUGAAUAUAAGUUUUCAAGGGAAGAAUGAAAUAUCAGUCUACCAGAUUGACUAUGAAGGAAAUGGAGCCAGCAAAAAAAAAGUAUUGUGUAAACAUGGAAAAAGAGCCUUUAGUAUCUCGUGUGGUGAAGAGGAAAACAAUUCAUGUGUUUCGAUCCCUGAAUUUCCUGAAGAAAAUUCAACAACAUUUUUUUGCACAUUAUAUUUACGGCAUCGAUAUGCAAUGCAUACAGAAGAAAGCGGAUUUAAGAUUUAACAUCCCAAAAAAAAAUUUCACCCAGACAACAUCGAAAAAGGCGCAAAUGAAAUAGUUACAGUAUUGGCUUGUGUGUGACUUUCUGCAAUUUGUGAUUAUAUUAUCACUUUUCGUAAACAAUGCAAUAAUCAGAAAAUCAUAUGUAAUAGGUAUAUCAAAGAUGGCUAAUCGAAAAUAACUUAAACUUACUCGAUCGCUAGUAGCGCUAACAGAAAUCAAUCAUAAAGGUAACUGUUUGAAUUGUUCAUGUACUCUGUGGAUCCAUUACUAAUUGAAAAUGUUCAGUGUUAUAAGGUGAGGUAAAAUUUUAAUUGUAUCAGUAUUAAUUGUAAAUAUUUCGAAAUAGAAAAAAAUGUCUGCAUAGGAUUAAAAGAUGUGAGUUAUUUUCGUUUGGGCACAACUUUUGCAUUAUACUGUGAAGUGAUUAAAAGUAUCACCCAUAACCUAUUGCAGUUCCAUUGACCAAAAAUUCUUCCAAAUUUCCAUAGAAGAACCAGAGACAAGUCAUAAUUGUUAGAGGUGCAAAGCGGAAAAAUAGAUCAUACUUACAAUCCUUCUAACAUUUUAAGUCUAAUUAUCCAUACGUUUUCUUUUAAAAUGUCUUCUAUAUUAGCGAAAAACAGAAACCAAUUAAAUGUUCAGUAAUAUAUAUGUGGAGUUGUCUCAUUGGCAAUCAUACCACAUCUUCAUUUUUAUAUUGGUAUAUGUUGUCAAUAAGUUUCGAUAGGAGAUAAUCUUAUAUCAUCAAACUCUCAUUUCAUAUGAGAAAGAUUGGAGAUAGAUAAGACUGUCUCUGUAAAAAUGUACAGAUAUUUGUAAUCAGCGCUUAAAUAAUAACAGCGUUCCAUUCAAACCUAUUAGGAUUGUAAGUAUGCUUUAGUUAUAACAUUCCGCAACUAACAUUGAUGGUUUGACUGUUGUUCUUCUACAGCAGUAUGGUGAAAGUUCUGACCAGUUUCCAAUUACAUUCAGCGUUUCAAACUUCAAUAAAUGGAGAGGAACACUUAUAAUCAAGUCACUGCAAUAACAAAUUGACAAAGAGGUAAGAGGUACAGGUAAAAAUGUUUAAGCCAGAGUCAAAAUUGACAAGCUGCUUAUUCCCUCUAGACUGAUAAGAAUAUACCCAAAAAUGAAAUAAUAUUCUAUAAAGGUUUUUCAAUGAUUUGAAAUGUAUCCAUUACAUCGAAAGGCUAUUAAGUUCUAAAUAAUGUUGUAAAAGACAAUCUGAAUAAAUUGAAACUUGUAA